rnacentral:piRNA from 1 species
UUCUGUUACAACACGUAAGGU